UCGACAUGCAGGCAACGGCUCUCCUAAUUUGAAAUUCACCUGUCGUCUUUCAUCCAGCGAAUUCAUCCUCGCACAACACUGAGAUGAAGGCGAAGUCACCAUGAAAAGUUAAACCUUUACCGUUAAGCUACAGUAAUUGAUGUUGAAAAACUGAUGCUACCAAUCACUCCUCACUUGAUUAUUCAAGCCCAAAUUGUGAUGGACCUGGAAUGCGACACCAGUUACUCUUAAGACAAGAACCGAAUAAAGCACAGAUGUGGAGGGAUUUGCAGCCAAACUAACUGGAGGGAAGGAACCUUUAGUGUGGGUGAACAUACUACCUGGAUGUCCAACAAAGGCUGCACAAGAGCUCAUUUGAUAGCACAUAUUCUGUCCUGUCUACAUCUCUGAUGACCUGGAAGUGCUUCGACAUCAGAUCAUCAUCAUGCUGCUGCCCUUUUUCACUGUCCCUUUCCACAUCAAUUGGCCUUCAUCAUUUCCUGUCUUGUAGCAGUAUUUUCACCUGUUUUUAAAAUUGUAAUAAUUUUUGAUGCAUUAAUUGUUGACUGGUUUUAAUGAUCAAUUGUUUAUUAGUGUUCUGUUGCUCUGUUAUAUUGAAUUACUGCUACUGUUUUAGCAUGGUUUACACAAUAAACCUUUAUU
ensembl:processed_transcript